rnacentral:rRNA from 1 species
UACGUAGGGGGCAAGCGUUGUCCGGAUUUAUUGGGCGUAAAGAGCGUGUAGGCGGCUUUACAGGUCCGUUGUGAAAACUCGAGGCUCAACCUCCAGCUGUCGACGGAAACCGUGUGGCUAGAGUCCGGAAGAGGAGAGUGGAAUUCCUGGUGUAGCGGUGAAAUGCGCAGAUAUCAGGAAGAACACCAAUGGCGAAGGCAGCUCUCUGGGACGGUACUGACGCUGAGACGCGAAAGCGUGGGGAGCGAACAGG